rnacentral:snRNA from 1 species
CUGUAAACUUCCUUCAAGGAC